rnacentral:rRNA from 1 species
UUGACCUCGGAUCAGGUAGGGAUACCCGCUGAACUUAAGCAUAUCAAUAAGGCCGGA